AGAGUUUGAUCAUGGCUCAGGAUGAACGCUGGCGGCGUGCCUAAUACAUGCAAGUCGAGCGAACAGAUAAGGAGCUUGCUCCUUUGACGUUAGCGGCGGACGGGUGAGUAACACGUGGGUAACCUACCUAUAAGACUGGGAUAACUUCGGGAAACCGGAGCUAAUACCGGAUAACAUUUGGAACCGCAUGGUUCUAAAGUGAAAGAUGGUUUUGCUAUCACUUAUAGAUGGACCCGCGCCGUAUUAGCUAGUUGGUAAGGUAACGGCUUACCAAGGCGACGAUACGUAGCCGACCUGAGAGGGUGAUCGGCCACACUGGAACUGAGACACGGUCCAGACUCCUACGGGAGGCAGCAGUAGGGAAUCUUCCGCAAUGGGCGAAAGCCUGACGGAGCAGCGCCGCGUGAGUGAUGAAGGGUUUCGGCUCGUAAAACUCUGUUAUUAGGGAAGAACAAACGUGUAAGUAACUGUGCACGUCUUGACGGUACCUAAUCAGAAAGCCACGGCUAACUACGUGCCAGCAGCCGCGGUAAUACGUAGGUGGCAAGCGUUAUCCGGAAUUAUUGGGCGUAAAGCGCGCGUAGGCGGUUUCUUAAGUCUGAUGUGAAAGCCCACGGCUCAACCGUGGAGGGUCAUUGGAAACUGGGAAACUUGAGUGCAGAAGAGGAAAGUGGAAUUCCAUGUGUAGCGGUGGAAUGCGCAGAGAUAUGGAGGAACACCAGUGGCGAAGGCGACUUUCUGGUCUGUAACUGACGCUGAUGUGCGAAAGCGUGGGGAUCAAACAGGAUUAGAUACCCCGGUAGUCC
rnacentral:rRNA from 1 species